UACGGGGGGGGCAAGCGUUGUUCGGAAUUACUGGGCGUAAAGGGCUCGUAGGCGGCCCACUAAGUCAGACGUGAAAUCCCUCGGCUUAACCGGGGAACUGCGUCUGAUACUGGAUGGCUUGAGUUUGGGAGAGGGAUGCGGAAUUCCAGGUGUAGCGGUGAAAUGCGUAGAUAUCUGGAGGAACACCGGUGGCGAAGGCGGCAUCCUGGACCAACACUGACGCUGAGGAGCGAAAGCCAGGGGAGCAAACGGG
rnacentral:rRNA from 1 species